CUUCUCGAGUCUGCUCUCAAUGAAGCGCGAGCUCAGACUCGUGUUCUAGAACGAACGAAACAACAACUACUGGAAAAGAAUCAACAAUUACAACAAGAGUUAAGUGCUGAAUUAAAUAAAGUAAACGAUAGUUUAAAAAAGAACACAAUGCAAUUGGAAGAGAUUGCUCUCGCCAAAGAAACAUUACAAGCAGAAAAAGAAGAUUUGAGAAGUAAACUUGAAGAGUUGUCAAAUCAUUAUAACACAUCCAUCAAUAAUAUGAAACAGGAAUUGAACAAAAAGACUGCAAAUUUGAUUGACACCGAAAAAAGAUAUAAC